rnacentral:rRNA from 1 species
UACGUAGGUGACAAGCGUUGUCCGGAUUUACUGGGCGUAAAGAGCGCGCAGGCGGUCGAUCAAGUCGAGUGUGAAAGCCCCCGGCUCAACUGGGGAGGGUCAUUCGAUACUGAUCGACUCGAAGGCAGGAGAGGGUAGUGGAAUUCCCGGUGUAGUGGUGAAAUGCGUAGAUAUCGGGAGGAACACCGGUGGCGAAGGCGGGUCUCUGGACAGUUCCUGACGCUGAGGCACGAAGGCCAGGGGAGCAAACGGG